rnacentral:rRNA from 1 species
CGAAACGCNNNUAAUACCCAUAUGCCGAGAGGUGAAAUGAAUUUCGCCUGAGGAUGAGCCCNNGUCUGAUUAGCUAGUUGGUGAGGUAAGAGCUCACCAAGGCAUCGAUCAGUAGCUGGUCUGAGAGGAUGAUCAGCCACACUGGGACUGAGACACGGCCCAGACUCCUACGGGAGGCAGCAGUGGGGAAUUUUCCGCAAUGGGCGAAAGCNUGACGGAGCAACGCCGCGUGAGGGAUGAAGGCCUCUGGGCUGUAAACCUCUUUUAUCAAGGAAGAAGAUCUGACGGUACUUGAUGAAUAA